ACAUUUUUAUUUUAAACAUAUAAAGCACCAGAUGCCAUGUGGUUAUCUUUGUCCAUUGUACUGCUUUAUGAUUCCCUUACCGAACUCAGACUAAAUACCCAGUUGGGAAGGCAGGACAUUCCUGAAUCUUUUCCCAACUGAAGGACUCUUACUACAACAAAGGUGCAACGAACAGAAAAAUGGGGCUGUAGCUAUCCGUUUCCUUCCAGGUACCUACAUAAUGUAUAGUACUAAGAGUUGAAAUGUGUUCUGUGGAGUCUUGAAGGUCAGAGUUUUAAAGAGGGGUUGCCUUGGGCUUAUGUAAUAUAGAACCCGCCUAUUAACUAGUGACUAUAGCAGUUUUUCUGACCAACUUAAGUUGUACAGAAUGUCAUGGAGAAUUUAAAUAAGAAUUAGGACAAAUUUAGGGUAUGGUAGUAGAACUUAGGAGAAAUCAUCCUCAGCCAUAAAACUCUUCCUUGACCCUCCCAGAUAAUUUUUACAUAGUAUGUCACCUUUAAUAUAAAUGUUGGAAUACAAGUUAUGUGGAGCCUUGAGAAGUACAUCCUUGAAAGAAGUACAUAUAGUAUUGUUCCAGUGAUUAAAGCAAGUGGCCUUUUCCUGACCCUCAACUAACUUUAUUCUAAGAAGUAUAAAUGACUAAAUAGACUCCUAAUUAAAUUGGGAUUCAAACAUGUUUGCAGUUUAGGGACAGUUUAUCUCUCCUAAAUUUUAUUUUGGAUCACAUUACUGAAGGCAGUACUGCAUUAGCAUGUUGCACAGUUAUGCAUAGUGCACUUUGUAGUCGAGUUUAAUACAGAGUGUCUUGACCUCCCACUCCUCCCCCAUAUUCAGUAAAGGAGAGUAAUAAUUUGUCACACACUGGAUAUUUUCUUCCCUGGAUUUAUUUGUAACAAUUACAUCUAUUUCCCAUGUAUUAUAAUACUUUUAAGAUGAAAAAUACAUAUAUUGAUUCAUAACAUUUAUCUUUUGGAAGCUAGCUUGCAAGAUCUAUUCCGACACUCACCCUCCAUUUAUUCUUCCAUUGCUUUUGGCACUCUAACUCUUUUUUUAAAAAAAUGUUUUACAGAUUUCUGUUAUGAAGAGAAAUAUCUCCACAUUCUAUGCACUGCUAGUUUUUUGAGGUGCUUGUGCUGACUCAUUUUUUAAAUUCUACUAAGAUAUAGAGUAUGGUUUGAGAGCAGUAAUGAGAUUCUCAGAAAAUAUGAAAACUUUCCUUUCUGACUAGUUAGAGAAAGGUUGGGGAAGACAAGGGGAAAUACAUCAAUGAGCCAGUCAAUUAUUGUUAUUUGUUGGGAUUAAUUUGAUG
rnacentral:lncRNA from 1 species